UUGACCUCGGAUCAGGUAGGAAUACCCGC
rnacentral:rRNA from 24 species